AUUGAACGCUGGCGGCAGGCCUAACACAUGCAAGUCGAGCGGAUGAAGGGAGCUUGCUCCUGGAUUCAGCGGCGGACGGGUGAGUAAUGCCUAGGAAUCUGCCUGGUAGUGGGGGAUAACGUCCGGAAACGGGCGCUAAUACCGCAUACGUCCUGAGGGAGAAAGUGGGGGAUCUUCGGACCUCACGCUAUCAGAUGAGCCUAGGUCGAGUUAGCUAGUUGGUGGGGUGAAGGCCUACCCAGGCGACGAUCCGUAACUGAUCUUAGAGGAUGAUCAGUCACACAGGACUUCAGAUUGGUUCCAGACUACUACGAGAGGCAGCAGUGGCGAAUAUUGGACAAUGGGCGCAAGCCCGAUCGCACCAUGCCGCGCGCUUGAAGAGGGUCUUCGGGUUGUAAAGCACUGUUUGUGGGGAGGACGGGCAGUUUGUUUAAAGAUAAGUGUUUUGACGUGCCCAGCAGAAUAAGCAACGGCUAACUUCGUG
rnacentral:rRNA from 1 species